CAAGAAAAGGUCAGGAUAGCUCAGUUGGUAGAGCAGAGGACUGAAAAUCCUCGUGUCACAGUUCAAAAUA
rnacentral:tRNA from 1 species